CGGGACACGUGGUAUCCUGUCUGAAUAUGGGGGGACCAUCCUCCAAGGCUAAAUACUCCUGACUGACCGAUAGUGAACCAGUACCGUGAGGGAAAGGCGAAAAGAACCCCGGCGAGGGGAGUGAAAAAGAACCUGAAACCGUGUACGUACAAGCAGUGGGAGCACGCUUAGGCGUGUGACUGCGUACCUUUUGUAUAAUGGGUCAGCGACUUAUAUUCUGUAGCAAGGUUAACCGAAUAGGGGAGCCGAAGGGAAACCGAGUCUUAACUGGGCGUUAAGUUGCAGGGUAUAGACCCGAAACCCGGUGAUCUAGCCAUGGGCAGGUUGAAGGUUGGGUAACACUAACUGGAGGACCGAACCGACUAAUGUUGAAAAAUUAGCGGAUGACUUGUGGCUGGGGGUGAAAGGCCAAUCAAACCGGGAGAUAGCUGGUUCUCCCCGAAAGCUAUUUAGGUAGCGCCUCGUGAAUUCAUCUCCGGGGGUAGAGCACUGUUUCGGCAAGGGGGUCAUCCCGACUUACCAACCCGAUGCAAACUGCGAAUACCGGAGAAUGUUAUCACGGGAGACACACGGCGGGUGCUAACGUCCGUCGUGAAGAGGGAAACAACCCAGACCGCCAGCUAAGGUCCCAAAGUCAUGGUUAAGUGGGAAACGAUGUGGGAAGGCCCAGACAGCCAGGAUGUUGGCUUAGAAGCAGCCAUCAUUUAAAGAAAGCGUAAUAGCUCACUGGUCGAGUCGGCCUGCGCGGAAGAUGUAACGGGGCUAAACCAUGCACCGAAGCUGCGGCAGCGACGCUUAUGCGUUGUUGGGUAGGGGAGCGUUCUGUAAGCCUGCGAAGGUGUGCUGUGAGGCAUGCUGGAGGUAUCAGAAGUGCGAAUGCUGACAUAAGUAACGAUAAAGCGGGUGAAAAGCCCGCUCGCCGGAAGACCAAGGGUUCCUGUCCAACGUUAAUCGGGGCAGGGUGAGUCGACCCCUAAGGCGAGGCCGAAAGGCGUAGUCGAUGGGAAACAGGUUAAUAUUCCUGUACUUGGUGUUACUGCGAAGGGGGGACGGAGAAGGCUAUGUUGGCCGGGCGACGGUUG
rnacentral:rRNA from 1 species